CAGUCGAACGCGUCUUGGUUAUUGAUGUUAGAUGCUUGCAUUUAACUGAUUUAACAUUGAGACGAGUGGCGAACUGGUGAGUAACACGUGGGUAACCUGCCCUUGAAGUAGGGGAUAACACUUGGAAACAGGUGCUAAUACCGUAUAACAACCAAAACCACCUGGUUUUGGUUUAAAAGAUGGCUUCGGCUAUCACUUUAGGAUGGACCCGCGGCGUAUUAGCUUGUUGGUAAGGUAACGGCCUACCAAGGCAAUGAUACGUAGCCGACCUGAGAGGGUAAUCGGCCACAUUGGGACUGAGACACGGCCCAAACUCCUACGGGAGGCAGCAGUAGGGAAUCUUCCACAAUGGACGAAAGUCUGAUGGAGCAACGCCGCGUGAGUGAUGAAGGGUUUCGGCUCGUAAAACUCUGUUGUUGGAGAAGAACAGGUGUGAGAGUAACUGUUCACAUCUUGACGGUAUCCAACCAGAAAGCCACGGCUAACUACGUGCCAGCAGCCGCGGUAAUACGUAGGUGGCAAGCGUUGUCCGGAUUUAUUGGGCGUAAAGCGAGCGCAGGCGGUUUCUUAGGUCUGAUGUGAAAGCCUUCGGCUUAACCGGAGAAGUGCAUCGGAAACCAGGAGACUUGAGUGCAGAAGAGGACAGUGGAACUCCAUGUGUAGCGGUGAAAUGCGUAGAUAUAUGGAAGAACACCAGUGGCGAAGGCGGCUGUCUGGUCUGUAACUGACGCUGAGGCUCGAAAGCAUGGGUAGCGAACAGGAUUAGAUACCCUGGUAGUCCAUGCCGUAAACGAUGAGUGCUAAGUGUUGGAGGGUUUCCGCCCUUCAGUGCUGCAGCU
rnacentral:rRNA from 1 species